UGACCACUCUUAGGAGUUAAAGCCAUACGGACAGCUAGGUCAAAGGCCGG
rnacentral:sRNA from 36 species